UAGUGAGUUUGAUCCUGGCUCAGAUUGAACGCUGGCGGCGUGCCUAAGACAUGCAAGUCGAACGACGCAGCUUGCUGCGUAGUGGCGCACGGGUGAGUAACACGUAACUGACCUACCCCGAAGUCCGGCAUAACAGUCCGAAAGGACUGCUAAUUCAGGAUGUGAACCCACGCUGUGGCGUGUGUUUAAAGAUUCAUCGCUUCGGGAUGGGGGUUGCGGCGCAUCAGCUUGUUGGUGAGGUAAAGGCUCACCAAGGCAACGACGCGUAACCGGCCUGAGAGGGUGUCGGUCACGAGGGGCACUGAGACGACGGGGUCCCACUCCGUACGGGA
rnacentral:rRNA from 1 species